UAGUCCUAAUUCUUCAGUGAGAGGGCGCUCCUAUUUAAGGUCAAAUAAAAACAAAAGUAGCAGAGUGCAGUUGAUUCAGAUAAAGUGCAUUUAUUCUGAA